UUAUUUAUAGGGUUAAUUUCAUACAGGUUUCUGCAAACAUAGUGAAUUGCAAAUAUAUCUCUACAAAGUUCAACUUUCAUAUGUUGUCUCCAUAAAAAUAUUGAUGUUUUUAAAUAUGUCUCUGUCAUUAGAAUCCGUUAGAAAAAAAUAGUUAAUCAUAGGUAAAAUAGUUAACCGUAGUUAUUUAAUGAGGUGAAUUGACCUUUUUACCCCUUUUAAAUUAACCGUUAGAAUUUUUGGAGAGAUAUAUUUGUGGUGGCAAAAAUAUCAUUUUUCUUAUAAAAUAAAUAGUAGUUUAACGGUAGCAAAUCAGAGAAAUAUAUUUGAAAAUAUUAGGACUUUUACAGAAAUAACACAUGAAAGUUGAACUUUGUAGAGAUAUAUUUGUAAUUCACUAUGUUGCAGGAAUCUGUAUAAAAUUAACCCGUAUUUUUUUAAUAAUUAAUUUAACUUUAUGUUUUUAGAAGUGCUUAAAGUUAUUAAAUUUGAUAAAAUCUUUUAAAAAUAAAAAGGAUAAAAU
rnacentral:lncRNA from 1 species